UGUCUAACGUCAAUCUUACGAAAGUUGAAUAAAUCAUCUUUGUAAAUACAGCUGUUUCUGCUAUGAUUAAAUUUUCAUAUAAUAAAUGUUUCCGAUUGUUAUUACAAAUUUUUAUUAACAAAUUUCAAGUGUAGAUUUCCUUGUCAAUAUCAGAAAUACGAGGAACAGCACAAUAUUUUGGUGAAAUAUAUACACAAGAAGACAGUAUUUGACCUCCUUUUCUUCAGGAGUCUUAGCAGUUAACCAGCAGCUGCUUUGGAGUGCAGGUCAUGUCAUAGCAACAGGACUCUAUAUACAAACAAAGGAAUAAGAGAUAUUCAUUCUAGUCAUCAUGUCUGACAAAGAUCAAAAAAUGGAGCAAGAUGCGGAAAAGUGUAAUAUUAAUAAUCCUAACAUUCCUAUAGAAUGCCCAACUUCAUCUCGUCAAAUAGAAGAUGAUAAACAUACAAAAGAACAAGAUAUACAAUAUAUGAUGAGCGGAUGGACUGGAGCAUCACCACCAAAGUUUGUGUCUCAUGAAGAAAUUAUAAAAGCUGCUAAAGGAAUGACGAAUAUGGCUUUGGCACAUGAAAUUGCGGUUGAUACAAAUUUUCAAUUACAAAAAUUGGAGCCGGAUGACGGUACUUUUCAUAGAAAAGUUAAAGAAAUUAUGCAUAAGGCUUUUUGGAAUUUGUUAGUAGAACAAUUGAAUGAAGAUCCACCGAUCUAUACGCAAGCCUUUAUUUUACUAAAAGAAAUUAAAGAUACAUUGGAUGAACUUGUAUUAUCACAUCAUUCAAAAAUUAAAGAAAAUAUUAAAGAAGUCCUUGAUAUUGAUUUGAUUAAACAGCAAGCAGAGAAGGGUGUAUUAGAUUUUCGCCAUUAUGCAAAUUACAUUAUUUCUAUUAUGGCUAAAGUUUGUGCACCGGUUAGAGAUGAAAAAAUAGAAGAACUGAAAGGAGAGCAAGAUGUUAUUGAAACAUUUAAAGGUAUAAUGGAAGCUUUACAGUUGAUGAGACUAGAUUUAGCAAACUUUACGAUAACUAUGAUGAGACCAAGUAUUGUUGCUUCGAGUAUUGAAUAUGAAAAAGCUAAGUUUGCAGAAUUUUUAAAAAUUAAUUCAAAUGGUUUACAUUAUACUAAAAAAUGGUUGUUGAGGCAUCUUGACGAAGAAGAAAUUGCCAGUGAUUUUAGUCAUGAUAAUCAAGUAAGACAAAUUACACAUCGUCUCUUAACUGAAGCUUACCUUGAUCUCCUAGAAUGGGAUUUUAAUCCAGAUGCAGAGACAUUGAUGCUUGAUCAAGGUAGAUUGGUAGAAUUGCGUGAUAAGACUAGCAGAUUGAGUCUAAUUGGUUCUAUAUUAUUAUUAACAAAUAAUACCGUUGGAACAUCGAUACAAGAUGUUGCUAAGUUUAAAAAUAGCGUAAAGAAGAAUUUAACAGUGUUAUUAGAUUCGGUACAUUCAAAUAAAGACUUAGAAAUGGUAAUGCCAAACAUCGUUUUGCAAGUAAUAAAAGAUCUUAAAGCAACGUUAGAGGAAAUUGGUAUUGGAAAUUUGUCAUCGGAUUUAGAAAUAUCAUUAGAGGGACAAAUAACAGAUUUGGUUAAACCAGAUCAUAAGAUCAGAAGUCUCGUUAAUUUAAGGAUUAGACAAUUUUUGCAAAGAAUUAUACAAUCUAAGAGUGCUAUUCCUCAGCAAGUACCAAUUGGUCUUUCGUCUCUUCAAGAAGAAUUAACAGCUAUAGCAGCACAAUUUUUAAUACUUGUUUCUCAUAACAGAAGUGUGUUUGGGGAAUAUUAUCAAGAAAUUGUCAGUAAUGCACUUUCUUCCACGCGUGAUAAUGAUGUGAUGAAAAAGGUAGUGAAAGAAAAUUCAAUGGAUGCCUAAAAUGAGAAUAUAUAUGAUUUUAUAUUAUGAGACGUGUUCAAGAAUCUGGAAACAGUUUUACAAAUAAAUACUAUAAUGAUUUAAUAGUAUGAGAUAAAACAAUUUCUGCAAUAUUAUGCAUAGGAGUCUAUAAUUACUAAUUCUAAUUACCUUCAAGUAUUUUCUACCUUCUAAUUAAUUUCAAGUAUUACAAUAUAUAUUCAUAUAUUUUGUGUAAGAGCUUACAUAACAAUGAAUAUAAAAUAAUAUUUCUUUAUAUUUGGUGCCGUGUAAAAAAGAUCUCUUUGCAAUAAUAUCUACAUAAAAAUUUAUUUAGAGUACAAAGUUGUAUGCAUUGUAUGAAUCAACGUAUCACACACAACACACAGACACAUAUAUAUAUAUAGAUAUAUAUAUAUAUUUGUAUGGAAUUUUUUGUCUUAUUAUUAACCAAAAAAUCAAUGUUCCUUAUCUCAAAAAUUAUAAAAAUUUUGUAAUAUUCCGGAAUAUCUUGUGAGGAAGUUAUGACUUUCUAGGGCUCCCCGGCACAUGUUUUGGGAUCCAUUGGACUAUAGUAAUAUAUAUUGGAUUUUUAUUUUUUGCAGAAAUAAUCAAAUAUUCCUCAUUUUUCUAUACAUUUCACUUUUAUUUACUCUAUUUUAUCGAUCUUGCGACGAUAGUCCCAAGAUACGAAUAGAGUGAGAACCCAUCUUUAUCAUUAUCAAAAUAUUACCUAUGCUAAACAACAGUUAUACGACCAAUGUAAAAACCUUAGGUAUUAGACUUAGCAUGAAUAAACUAUACUUAAAA
rnacentral:misc_RNA from 1 species